GCGGCCGAUUAGGUAGUUGGUUAGGUAACGGCUUACCAAGCCGUUGAUCGGUACGGGUUGUGAGAGCAAGAGCCCGGAGAUGGAACCUGAGACAAGGUCCCAGGCCCUACGGGGCGCAGCAGGCGCGAAACCUCCACAAUGUGAGAAAUCGCGAUGGGGGGAUCCCAAGUGCCAUUCUUAACGGGAUGGCUUUUCAUUAGUGUAAAAAGCUUUUGGAAUAAGAGCUGGGCAAGACCGGUGCCAGCCGCCGCGGUAACACCGGCAGCUCUAGUGGUAGCAAUUUUUAUUGGGCCUAAAGCGUCCGUAGCCGGUUUAAUAAGUCUCUGGUGAAAUCCUGUAGCUUAACUAUGGGAAUUGCUGGAGAUACUAUUAGACUUGAGACCGGGAGAGGUUAGAGGUACUCCCAGGGUAGAGGUGAAAUUCUGUAAUCCUGGGAGGACCGCCUGUUGCGAAGGCGUCUAACUGGAACGGUUCUGACGGUGAGGGACGAAAGUUAGGGGCGCGAACCGGAUUAGAUACCCGGGUAGUCCUAACUGUAAACGAUGCGGACUUGGUGUUGGGGUGGCUUUGAGCUGCUCCAGUGCCGAAGGGAAGCUGUUAAGUCCGCCGCCUGGGAAGUACGGUCGCAAGACUGAAACUUAA
rnacentral:rRNA from 1 species